rnacentral:rRNA from 1 species
GACGAACGCUGGCGGCGUGCCUAACACAUGCAAGUCGAACGAGGUCCAUCCUUCGGGAGAAGACCUAGUGGCGAACGGGUGAGUAACACGUGAAGAACCUGCCCCGAAGACCGGGAUAACCCUCCGAAAGGAGAGCUAAUACCGGAUACCCCCACCGAACCGCAUGGUUUGGUGAGGAAAUGGAUUCCGCUUCGGGAGGGCUUCGCGGCCUAUCAGCUAGUUGGUGGGGUAACGGCCCACCAAGGCAUCGACGGGUAGCUGGUCUGAGAGGACGAUCAGCCACACUGGGACUGAGACACGGCCCAGACUCCUACGGAGGCAGCAGUGGGGAAGUCUUGCGCAAUGGGCGAAAGCCUGACGCAGCAACGCCGCGUGGGGGAUGAAGGCUCUCGGGUUGUAAACCCCUUUCAGCAGGGACGAAUCAAGACGGUACCUGCAGAAGAAGCCCCGGCUAACUACGUGCCAGCAGCCGCGGUAA